rnacentral:rRNA from 1 species
GAGUUUGAUCAUGGCUCAGAGCGAACGCUGGCGGCAUGCUUAACACAUGCAAGUCGCACGGUCAGCAAUGGCAGUGGCGGACGGGUGAGUAACACGUAGGAAUCUAUCUCUGGGUGGGGGACAACAGUGGGAAACUACUGCUAAUACCGCAUGAUACCUGAGGGUCAAAGGCGUAAGUCGCCUGGAGAGGAGCCUGCGUCUGAUUAGCUUGUUGGUGGGGUAAAGGCCUACCAAGGCUACGAUCAGUAGCUGGUCUGAGAGGAUGAUCAGCCACAUUGGGACUGAGACACGGCCCAAACUCCUACGGGAGGCAGCAGUGGGGAAUAUUGGACAAUGGGCGAAAGCCUGAUCCAGCAAUGCCGCGUGUGUGAAGAAGGUCUUCGGAUUGUAAAGCACUUUUGGCAGGGACGAUGAUGACGGUACCUGCAGAAUAAGCCCCGGCUAACUUCGUGCCAGCCGCCGCAGUAAG